UUGACAUCGGAUCAGGUAGGGAUACCCGCUGAACUUAA
rnacentral:rRNA from 1 species